AGAGUUUGAUCCUGGCUCAGAAUGAACGCUGGCGGCAUGCCUAACACAUGCAAGUCGAACGAGACCUUCGGGUCUGGUGCCGCACGGGUGGGUAACGCGUGGGAAUCUGCCCUUCGGAUCGGACUAACCCAUGGAAACUUGCACUAAUACCGUAUACGUCCUUCGGGAGAAAGAUUUAUCGGAAUUGGAUGAGCCCGCGUCGGAUUAGCUAGUUGGUGGGGUAAAGGCCUACCAAGGCGACGAUCCGGAGCUGGUCUGAGAGGAUGAUCAACCACACUGGGACUGAUACACGGCCCAAACUCCUACGGGAGGCAGAAAUGGGGAAUAUUGGACAAUGGGCGCAAGCCUGAUCCAGCCAUGCCGCGUGAGUGAUGAAGGGCCUAGGGUUGUACAGCUCUUUCACCGGUGAAUAUAAUGACGGUAGCCGGAUAAGAAGCCCCGGCUAACUUCGUGCCAGCACCCGCGGUAAUACGAAGGGGGCUAGCGUUGUUCGGAAUUACUGGGCGUAAAGCGCACGUACGCGGAUAUUUAUGUCAAGGGUGAAAUCCCGGGGCUCAACCCCGGAACUGCCUUCGAUACUGGGUAUCUUGAGUUCGAGAGAGGUGAGUGGAAUUCCGAGUGUAGAGGUGAAAUUCGUAGAUAUUCGGAGGAACACCAGUGGCGAAGGCGGCUCACUGGCUCAAAACUGACGCUGAGGUGCGAAAGCGUGUGGAGCAAACCUGAUUAUAUACCCCGGUAGUCCA
rnacentral:rRNA from 1 species